GACGAACGCUGGCGGCGUGCUUAACACAUGCAAGUCGAACGGAAAGGCCCCUUUGGUGGUACUCGAGUGGCGAACGGGUGAGUAACACGUGAGUAACCUGCCCUUGACUUCGGGAUAACUUCAGGAAACUGGGGCUAAUACCGGAUAGGAAUCCUUGCUGCAUGGUGGGGGUUGGAAAGCUUCGGCGGUUUUGGAUGGACUCGCGGCUUAUCAGCUUGUUGGUGGGGUAGUGGCUUACCAAGGCUUUGACGGGUAGCCGGCCUGAGAGGGCGACCGGCCACAUUGGGACUGAGACACGGCCCAGACUCCUACGGGAGGCAGAAGUGGGGAAGAUUGCACAAUGGGCGGAAGCCUGAUGCAGAAACGCCGCGUGCGGGAUGACGGCCUUCGGGUUGUAAACCGCUUUCAGCAGGGGCGAAGCUUGUGGUGACGGUACCUGCAGAAGAAGCACCGGCUAACUACGUG
rnacentral:rRNA from 1 species